CAGUCGCCACGGUAAUACGAAGGGUGCAAGCGUUACUCGGAAUUACUGGGCGUAAAGCGUGCGUAGGUGGUGGUUUAAGUCCGUUGUGAAAGCCCUGGGCUCAACCUGGGAAUUGCAGUGGAUACUGGGUCACUAGAGUGUGGUAGAGGAUAGUGGAAUUUCCGGUGUAGCAGUGAAAUGCGUAGAGAUCGGAAGGAACAUCUGUGGCGAAGGCGACUAUCUGGGCCAACACUGACACUGAGGCACGAAAGCGUGGGGAGCAAACAGGAUUAGAUACCCCCGUAGUCCCUGUCUCUUAUAA
rnacentral:rRNA from 1 species